UACGGAGGGUGCAAGCGUUAUCCGGAUUCACUGGGUUUAAAGGGUGCGUAGGCGGGCUUGUAAGUCAGUGGUGAAAGCCCGGAGCUUAACUCCGGAACUGCCAUUGAUACUGCAAGUCUUGAGUACACUUGAGGUGGGCGGAAUACAUCAUGUAGUGGUGAAAUACUUAGAUAUGAUGUAGAACACCGAUUGCGAAGGCAGCUCACUAAAUUGUAACUGACGCUGAGGCACGAAAGCGUGGGGAUCAAACAGG
rnacentral:rRNA from 1 species